AUACGGAGGAUGCAAGCGUUAUCCGGAUUUAUUGGGUUUAAAGGGUGCGCAGGCGGCGCGUUAAGUCAGUGGUGAAAUGUCCCGGCUCAACCGGGGAACUGCCGCUGAUACUGACGUGCUCGAGUACGGACGGCGCCGGCGGAAUGUGUCAUGUAGCGGUGAAAUGCUUAGAUAUGCCACAGAACACCGAUCGCGAAGGCAGCUGGCGAGGCCGGUACUGACGCUCAGGCACGAAAGCGUGGGGAUCAAACAGGAUUAGAUACCCUGGUAGUCCACGCAGUAAACGAUGAGGACUUGUUGUCGGCGAUAGAGUGUCGGUGACAAAGCGAAAGCGAUAAGUCCUCCACCUGGGGAGUACGAUCGCAAGGUUGAAACUCAAAGGAAUUGACGGGG
rnacentral:rRNA from 1 species